GUGAGCUCUUCCGCUCUGGAUGAUCACUGGAGGGUAGAGUUUGUUUUUAAAGCAACAAUGUCUAUGUACAUGUUGGUGGAAAUGAUCUAGUAGAGAGGGGAAAUUGGUGUUUUAUUUAUUUAUCUAAAUAUAUGUGUAUAUGUACACAUAUAUA